CAACACUCAAGCGCUGCUGCUUGGUGCUGGGGCCCUGCGGUUUGCAGGCUCUGAAAGACAUUGGCAGGACAGUUAUGAUCCCGAGCGCAGUAAAUCUUCUCGCUUAGGGCGUUAUAGCGGUCUUCCGACCGUAAAAUCAGUACUUUUUAAAUCUGUAAAG
rnacentral:misc_RNA from 1 species